CCUACGGGAGGCUGCAGUCGAGAAUCAUUCACAAUGGGGGAAACCCUGAUGGUGCGACGCCGCGUGGGGGAAUGAAGGUCUUCGGAUUGUAAACCCCUGUCAUGUGGGAGCAAAUUAAAAAGAUAGUACCACAAGAGGAAGAGACGGCUAACUCUGUGCCAGCAGCCGCGGUAAUACAGAGGUCUCAAGCGUUGUUCGGAAUCACUGGGCGUAAAGCGUGCGUAGGCUGUUUCGUAAGUCGUGUGUGAAAGGCGCGGGCUCAACCCGCGGACGGCACAUGAUACUGCGAGACUAGAGUAAUGGAGGGGGAACCGGAAUUCUCGGUGUAGCAGUGAAAUGCGUAGAUAUCGAGAGGAACACUCGUGGCGAAGGCGGGUUACUGGACAUUAACUGACGCUGAGGCACGAAGGCCAGGGGAGCGAAAGGGAUUAGAUACCCUUGUAGUC
rnacentral:rRNA from 1 species